AGGGAAUCUUCGGCAAUGGGGGCAACCCUGACCGAGCAACGCCGCGUGAGUGAAGAAGGUUUUCGGAUCGUAAAGCUCUGUUGUAAGUCAAGAACGGGUGUGAGAGUGGAAAGUUCACACUGUGAUUCGGUAGCUUACCAGAAAGGGACGGCUAACUACGUGCCAGCAGCCGCGGUAAUACGUAGGUCCCGAGCGUUGUCCGGAUUUAUUGGGCGUAAAGCGAGCGCAGGCGGUUUGAUAAGUCUGAAGUUAAAGGCUGUGGCUCAACCAUAGUUCGCUUUGGAAACUGUCAAACUUGAGUGCAGAAGGGGAGAGUGGAAUUCCAUGUGUAGCGGUGAAAUGCGUAGAUAUAUGGAGGAACACCGGUGGCGAAAGCGGCUCUCUGGUCUGUAACUGACGCUGAGGCUCGAAAGCGUGGGGAGCGAACAGGAUUAGAUACCCUGGUAGUCCACGCCGUAAACGAUGAGUGCUAGGUGUUGGAUCCUUUCCGGGAUUCAGUGCCGAAGCUAACGCAUUAAGCACUCCGCCUGGGGAGUACGACCGCAAGGUUGAAAC
rnacentral:rRNA from 1 species